GAAUCUUUCCUCUUUUUCAAAAGCCUUUUUUGUUUUUUCCUUUCUUUUUCAUCUGUAUCAGAAGAAGCUAAAGGACUAGAAAAAGUAGCAGAAGGAGGGAGCCCCAGAGGAAGAGAAGAAGGAGGAGAAGUAACUGU
rnacentral:ribozyme from 13 species